rnacentral:rRNA from 1 species
AUUGAACGCUGGCGGCAUGCUUUACACAUGCAAGUCGAACGGUAACAGGCCGCAAGGUGCUGACGAGUGGCGAACGGGUGAGUAAUGCAUCGGAACGUGCCCAGUCGUGGGGGAUAACGCAGCGAAAGCUGCGCUAAUACCGCAUACGAUCUAUGGAUGAAAGCGGGGGACCGUAAGGCCUCGCGCGAUUGGAGCGGCCGAUGUCAGAUUAGGUAGUUGGUGGGGUAAAGGCUCACCAAGCCAACGAUCUGUAGCUGGUCUGAGAGGACGACCAGCCACACUGGGACUGAGACACGGCCCAGCCUCCUACGGGAGGCAGCAGUGGGGAAUUUUGGACAAUGGGCGCAAGCCUGAUCCAGCAAUGCCGCGUGCAGGAAGAAGGCCUUCGGGUUGUAAACUGCUUUUGUACGGAACGAAACGGUCCUGGUUAAUACCUGGGGCUAAUGACGGUACCGUAAGAAUAAGCACCGGCUAACUACGUGCCAGCCGCCGCCGCGGUAA